UACGGAGGGUGCAAGCGUUGUUCGGAUUUAUUGGGCGUAAAGCGCGUGUAGGCGGUUUCUUAAGUCUGAUGUGAAAGCCCUGGGCUCAACUCAGGAAGUGCAUUGGAUACUGGGAAACUUGAAUACGGGAGAGGGUAGUGGAAUUCCUAGUGUAGGAGUGAAAUCCGUAGAUAUUAGGAGGAACACCGGUGGCGAAGGCGGCUACCUGGACCGAUAUUGACGCUGAGACGCGAAAGCGUGGGGAGCAAACAGG
rnacentral:rRNA from 1 species